UGAUUCUGUCUCUGAGGGCCUGAGAAAUGCAAAAAUGACUAACUGAGGAGAGGAAAGUAAAGGUGCGGGGAGGACGAUGAAGGUAGAGAGGUGUACCUCUGGGAUAGCAGUAAGGGUAGCCAUAGAAUUGAUUUGGGAUUUGAAGUGAUUAGCAAGUGGAUCACCAAUGGUCACUGGAGAUCUCCGAUGGUUGCCGAAAAUCGUCGACGGUCGCCCUUCGCCCGAAAGAAAGAGGAGAUGAGGUAUGGUGUUGUGAGAAGAUGAACCGGUGGGGAUGAGGAAGAUGGUGGCUGUAAAUUUAUAAAUUCAUCCGAGAGGGUAAAUGCGGUCUCUCAUCCGCCGUCUGUGUGAAAAUCGAAGAGCUGUUACCCCCAAUCGCUUUUUCAGGCAAUCAUGACUGAGGAGAUUUCGGAACAGAAAAUAUUUUGUUGCUCAGUGAUUGGUAAAUAUCGACAUUUUCCUGAGGAAGGUAAUCGCGGCUGAGAUAAUUUCGGAGCAAAAGAUAAGUUUCACUCCAAAAUUGGGGGGCAUGUGUUGACACCAUUUUUUGACAUAUGACAAAGAUGGCGUCAAAAGGAAGCAGAGGUGCCAGUGCGUAGUGGAAGGACAAUGGCUCGUGGAAUCGGCAGAUGAGGUUGCAGAGGGUUUAGCUGAUAGAGUGAGACAGAAACCUAGCUGAUGGGAUCAAGGGAGCGUUGCCGAUGGAGUCAACUGAUGUGAGUAGGAGGAUUCUAGCCGAUUGGAAGCGUUGCAGAUGGAGUUAGCCGAUGUGAGCAGAAGAAUUCUAGCCAAAUGGAAAUGUUGUCGAUGGAGUCAGCCGAUGAGGGGCAGGUUUUGGCCGGUAGAGGCCAAGUUCGUUUCCGACUUUUGCGCGAGUCAUUUUUAUUUGGAAAGUUUGUUUCUUUAGAGAUAGAUCUUAUGAUUUGUCGUAAUCGACUAGGGUUAUAAAUCUUGAUAUAUAGGGUAUAAAUAGGGACCUUGAGAGGUCUGGAGACAUACACAUCAUAAUCAAUACAAAUUCACUAUUUUCACAAUUUACUUUCAAGUUGGUAACUUUGCCAUCAUUUUUGUUUCUUCAUGAGUUCUUUCAAGCUAGUUGGCCUGCAUCGUUCCGAUCUUCG
rnacentral:lncRNA from 1 species